rnacentral:rRNA from 1 species
CGCGUAGGCGGAUGUUUAAGUCAGAGGUGAAGCCCAGGGCUCAACCCUUGGAACUGCCUUUGAUACUGGACAUCUUGAGUACGGGAGAGGUGAGUGGAACUCCGAGUGUAGAGGUGAAAUACGUAGAUAUUCGGAAGAACACCAGUGGCGAAGGCGACUCACUGGCCCGUUACUGACGCUGAGGCGCGAAAGCGUGGGGAGCAAACAGGAUUAGAUACCCUGGUAGUCCACGCUGUAAACGAUGAGUGCUAGUUGUCGGCACUGCAUGCAUGUCGGUGACGCAGCUAACGCAUUAAGCACUCCGACCUGGGGAUACGGUCGCAAGAUUAAA